rnacentral:rRNA from 1 species
UGGUGGGGUGACUUGUCUGCUUAAUUGCGAUAACGUACGAGACCUUAACCUGCUAAAUAGCCCGCAUUGCUCCGGCAGUGCGCUGGCUUCUUAGAGGGACUUUCGGCUCAAGCCGAAGGAAGUUUGAGGCAAUAACA